GUGGGGAAUCUUAGACAAUGGGGGCAACCCUGAUCUAGCCAUGCCGCGUGAGUGAUGAAGGCCUUAGGGUCGUAAAGCUCUUUCGCUGGGGAAGAUAAUGACGGUACCCAGUAAAGAAACCCCGGCUAACUCCGUGCCAGCAGCCGCGGUAAUACGGAGGGGGUUAGCGUUGUUCGGAAUUACUGGGCGUAAAGCGCGCGUAGGCGGAUUGGAAAGUUGGGGGUGAAAUCCCGGGGCUCAACCCUGGAAUGGCCUUCAAAACUCCCAGUCUUGAGGUCGAGAGAGGUGAGUGGAAGUCCGAGUGUAGAGGUGAAAUUCGUAGAUAUUCGGAGGAACACCAGUGGCGAAGGCGGCUCACUGGCUCGAUACUGACGCUGAGGUGCGAAAGCGUGGGGAGCAAACAGGAUUAGAAACCCCAGUAGUCC
rnacentral:rRNA from 1 species